CCUACGGGGGGCAGCAGGCGAGAAACCUUAGCAAUGCGGGAAACCGUGACUGGGCUAUCCCGAGUGCCAGCCGCUAAGGUUGGCUUUUCCCCAGAGUAAAAACCUGGGGGAAUAAGCGGGGGGCAAGACUGGUGUCAGCCGCCGCGGUAAUACCAGCUCCGCGAGUGGUCGGGACGAUUAUUGAGCCUAAAGCGCUCGUAGCCGGUCCGGUAAGUCCUGUGCUAAAUCCAACGGCUCAACCGUUGGGCCGCAUGGGAUACUGCUGGGCUAGGGAGCGGAAGAGGCCAGGGGUACUCCCGGGGUAGGGGCGAAAUCCUAUAAUCCCGGGAGGACGACCAGUGGCGAAGGCGCCUGGCUAGGACGCGUCCGACGGUGAGGGGCGAAAGCUGGGGGAGCGAACCGGAUUAGAUACCCGGGUAGUCCCAGCUGUAAACGAUGCGGAUUGGGUGCCGGUACGGCUUCGGGCCGUAUCGGUGCCUCAGGGAAGCCGUUAAAUCCGCCGCUUGGGGAGUACGGUCGCAAGACUGAAACUUAAAGGAAUUGGCGGGGGAGCACCACAAGGGGUGAAGCCUGCGGCUCAAUUGGAGUCAGCGCCGGGAACUUUACCGGGGGCGACAGCAGUAUGAGGGCCAAGCUGAUGACUUUGCCCGACGCGCUGAGAGGUGGCGCAUGGCCGUCGCCAGCUCGUGCCGUGAGGUGUCUGGUUAAGUCCAGGAACGCAGCGAGACCCUCACCCCUAGUUGCCACCGCGCAAGCGGGCACACUAGGGGGACCGCCACCGCUAAGGUGGAGGAGGGAGGGGGUAACGGCAGGUCAGCAUGCCCCGAAUCCCCCGGGCCGCACGCGGGCUGCAAUGGUGGAGACAAUGGGUUCCGAACCCGAAAGGGGGAGGUAAUCCUUGAAACUCCACCGUAGUUGGGAUCGAGGGCUGCAACCCGCCCUCGUGAACCUGGAAUCCCCAGUAAUCGCGUGUCAUCAUCGCGCGGUGAACACGUCCCCGCUCCUUGCACACACCGCCCGUCA
rnacentral:rRNA from 1 species